GAUGAACGCUGGCGGCGUGCUUAACACAUGCAAGUCGAACGGAAAGGCCCAAGCUUGCUUGGGUCCUCGAGUGGCGAACGGGUGAGUAACACGUGGGUGAUCUGCCCUGCACUUCGGGAUAAGCCCGGGAAACUGGGUCUAAUACCGGAUAGGACGAUGGUUUGGAUGCCAUUGUGGAAAGUUUUUUCGGUGUGGGAUGAGCUCGCGGCCUAUCAGCUUGUUGGUGGGGUAAUGGCCUACCAAGGCGUCGACGGGUAGCCGGCCUGAGAGGGUGUACGGCGACAUUGGGACUGGGAUACGGCCCAGACUCCUACGGGAGGCAGCAGUGGGGAAUAUUGCACAAUGGGCGCAAGCCUGAUGCAGCGACGCCGCGUGGGGGAUGACGGCCUUCGGGUUGUAAACUCCUUUCGCUAGGGACGAAGCGUUUUUGUGACGGUACCUGGAGAAGAAGCACCGGCUAACUACGUG
rnacentral:rRNA from 1 species